GACGUAGGAUGCAAGCGUUGUCCGGAUUUAUUGGGCGUAAAGAGUUCGUAGGUGGUUUGUUAAGUCUGAUGUUAAAGACUGGGGCUCAACCUCGGAAAUGCAUUGGAUACUGGCAGACUUGAGUGUGGUAGAGGCAAUCGGAAUUCCAGGUGUAGCGGUGAAAUGCGUAGAUAUCUGGAAGAACACCGGUGGCGCAAGCGGAUUGCUGGGCCAUAACUGACACUGAGGAACGAAAGCUAGGGGAGCAAACAGG
rnacentral:rRNA from 1 species